CAACCCUCAAGCUCAGCUUGGUAUUAGGCUUCACCCGUAAGGGCGGGCUAUAAAAUCAGUGGCGGUGCCAUUCGGCUUCAAGCGUAGUAAUUCUUCUCGCUUUGGAGGACCGGUUGAGUGCCUGCCAACAACCCCAAUUUUAUCAAA
rnacentral:misc_RNA from 1 species